CUUGUAAUGGAUUUUGCUGUCAUCAUUAGACACGGGUGACCGUUUGUAGAAUCCAUCGCUGCUUGCAGGAGAGUGGCCUUUAUUUGCAGGAGAUCAGGAAAAUCAACUUCAAACACAUUGCUUUCCUUCAGGCAACUCAAUCGGGAUUCAUAUGGUAGAUUCUGAUAAAGCAAUGUAAAUGAACAACUCAUCUAGUGUCACGAUGUCAGGAUUAUCUGUUACUCAGAACUCCUAUGAUUAAAAAUCCGUUAUACACAAAAAUGUCCCAACAUCGUACA